rnacentral:tRNA from 1 species
GCCGUGGUGGUUCAGUGGUAGAAUUCUCACCUUCCAUGUGGGAGACCUGGGUUCAAUUCCUGGCAAUGCA